AAUUUAGCCAUGAAACUUCUGCUGAAUUCUUGUGUGCUGCACUGAGUUAGAAGUCUUACCUCAAAACUGACUCCAACUUUGCAAAGAAGUCUGCAGGAAUUUCUACCUAGCCGACCGCCGUCAUUUAUUUGAGCAGCUCAGUACAUAAUUAAGAAGCCCUGGAGCCUGGGACAGCCUUUUAUCUUGAAAAGUGGCUCUUCCAGACCCUACCAAUCCCUGCACCCAGCACUGGGUUUGGCCAGUGAGUAAUGGAAAAGCAAGGGAACGCCGAGGAAUCAAAGACAGUGUGCUGAAGAGAUGAGAAAGGACAAUACGAGUCAUGUUCUCACUGACCUCAACUCAGACAGGACCUGCCGGCAGUAACAGACAUAUGGAGUAAUAAUUAAUGGCAGUUCUUACAGUGCCCAACAGAAGCUGCACAACACUGGUUUUCCAUCUUUUGUUUCAAGUUUGUAUAAUCUCCACUGAAGGAAGCACAGGAGGAAAUAAGUGUGGGGGCAUGGCAAGAGUAGGGCAAAGGGAGCCAGCCCCAGGCAAUGGAACAGAAAAAUCUACAGCCCAUGAAGAUAAACACCACACAUGCUCUGUCCUGCUCCUAAGUGUUCUUCAUAAGCAUGUCUGUAAUCACAAUGAUGACUACCACUACUUCUCAAACUGCAGCCCAUUGUCAAUUAUUUUUCAUGAGCAACAACAUUAUCAUGACUAUUACAGGAUGAACAUGUAUGAUUGAUUCUUCACUUUCUUAAUUAAAUACUUAAUGAUACU
rnacentral:lncRNA from 7 species